rnacentral:rRNA from 1 species
GAUGAACGCUGGCGGCGUGCCUAAUACAUGCAAGUCGAGCGAACGGACGAGAAGCUUGCUUCUCUGAUGUUAGCGGCGGACGGGUGAGUAACACGUGGAUAACCUACCUAUAAGACUGGGAUAACUUCGGGAAACCGGAUCUAAUACCGGAUAAUAUUUUGAACCGCAUGGUUCAAAAGUGAAAGACGUUCUUGCUGUCACUUAUAGAUGGAUCCGCGCUGCAUUAGCUAGUUGGUAAGGUAACGGCUUACCAAGGCAACGAUGCAUAGCCGACCUGAGAGGGUGAUCGGCCACACUGGAACUGAGACACGGUCCAGACUCCUACGGGAGGCAGCAGUAGGGAAUCUUCCGCAAUGGGCGAAAGCCUGACGGAGCAACGCCGCGUGAGUGAUGAAGGUCUUCGGAUCGUAAAACUCUGUUAUUAGGGAAGAAAAUAUGUGUAAGUAACUGUGCACAUCUUGACGGUACCUAAUCAGAAAGCCACGGCUAACUACGUG